UCCAAAUCUUAAUCACUCUUUCCUCCUCUUCAACAAUUGUUAACAGAGCAACAAAAUCCACUCAACAAUUUCAAAAAAUAAUAUUUUCCCCACUAUUCUAAAGUUCUACGUCCAAUAUAUACUCCUAUAGAUUUGUCUUUUAGCUCUACGACACAGCAAUGGAGAAUGGUGGUGGUGGUGGAACGAAUGGGAAAAGAGUAAGAGCUGAAGAUGUAAUAUGUAAGCUCAAAGACGACGGUGAUUUCGAUAAACUUCGCCUCAAAAUUCUCCGCAAACUCAAAGAAAACGAAGAGUUGCGGAAUAGCAUAAUAGCCACUGUGAAAGAAUCAGCAGCACUUAACCGUCCAGGUGCAGAAAAUAUGAAACCAAGGCAACUGUCGGAUGCUAUAUAUCAAGAAGUUGGGGACAAAGUCAUGGGUAAAAUUUCAGAGGAUUUAUGGAAUACAAUCAGAACUGGUGAUGGCAUUCAAACUGAGAUAACCCAAACUGUUCAAUCAGUUUACAAUAAGUUAUUGAACCCACAACUAAAUGAAGCUGGUGAAUCAUCCUCUCAUUCAGAAUUGCAGCCUGCUCCGAAUGGAGUUGAAACUAACGGACAUAGUGCUGCUUCAGACCGUGGUAUUGAUGCCACAUUUUCUGUUGAACCAGAGCCAAGUGAGCCUCCUGGUUUUGCCCGAUUAGGUUCAGAUCGGAACAGCAAAAGUAACUGUUCAAAUCAGAUUAACAAAAGUAACCAUAAGGAAUCACCCAAAGAGGAGUCAGGAUUUCCUAUUCCUGCUGAUGAAAAAGCCAGAGAAACAUAUACCGAGCCGGAGACGAACCGCGCACCUGACCCUUUGGUGCCUGACAGUAUGGAUGUGGAUGCACCACCUGGCUUUGCUAUUGUCACGAAGGAGAAGAAUCCAGAUGAAGUUGAUGAUGAAGAUCCUGACGUGCCUCCAGGAUUUGGCUGAUCGCUUAUUAAGUUAUUAUACUUAUGGUUAUAUUUUUUGGAAAAGGUUAGCCAAUACAUUGGUCAUUGUCGUAUCAAGUUCAAACAGCUCGUGUUGACACUUACAGAGAGUACUUUACGUUGACUGCGCCGGCUAGCAGCUCAUGACUUCUCUUUCUUCAAUUUCCCAAGGAAUUGAUGCUGGGGAUUGGACAAAGAAAAAUUAGUUGCUGAUACCAAUUGGCAAGAAGGUAUCCUUUGUAAAUGCCUUUGCGUGAUUUACUAAGCAAUUUAUUUUUUUCCUCUUGGUUACAAAGAUACUGCAUUAUGCCCUAGUGAGGUGCUACUUUCCUCUAACGGAUAAUUAUACUAGAGUAGAAAACUACUAGGAUUUUGUGAAUUAUUCAUAUCUAUGAUAUGGCACAAAUACAAUUACUGCUCCUGUGAUAGUCCGAAAAAUUUACACAGUAAAAUUUGUAGGAUCAAUGCAUGUAGGAUCAUGUGAGCCGAGGGUCUAUCUGAAACAACUUCUUUACCUCAUACAAGAUAGGGGUAAGGUCCGCGUACAUCCCACAUUUCCCAAACCCCACUCGUGGCAUCAUACUAUGUAUGUUAUUGUUGUUGUUGCAAUGUAUGUAAAGCUUUAUUAUUAAAGUAUAUGACCAUCUUAUCUAGGGUGUGGCUUAGUGGUCAAUGAAGUGGGUGAGAACCAUGAGGUCUCUAGUUCAAAUCCCAGCGGAGGCAAAUACUAGGUGAUUUCUUCCCAUCUAUCCAAGCCUUGGUGGAUAGAGUUACCUGGUACCUGUUGCUGGUUGGGAGGUGGCAAAUACUAAGUAUAUGACCAUCUUAUCUAAAAGUUCAAGUUGUUAUUGAGAACACACUUCUAUCUACUUAAUAAUGUCGCUGACAUUCUAAGCAAGACAUUUGAUUCUUUUUGAUGGUCCAAGGACAGGAAGUUCUUUUGAUGAAGGGUGGUGGUGAGAUUAAAACUUAGGACCUCUAUGUUUUUUGGUACCAUGUUAAAUUGUGUGUCCACCUCAUGUUGAAAAGCUUAAACUGUUAGAAAGGAUACACUUUUAUUUACUUAAUUAUAUCUUUCAGUAUAUAUUUUCUCUUUUAUUCUGUUUCUAAGUUGUUUAUGUCUGCUACAUGAGGUGAUGACAUUUUAUUGACCAAGUCUAUGGAUA